rnacentral:tRNA from 1 species
GGGGAUGUAGCUUAGUGGUAGAGUGCAUGCAGGCAUGCAUAUGGCCCUAGGUUUGAUCCCUAGCAUUGCAA